GAUGAAGAACGUAGCGAAAUGCGAUACGUAAUGUGAAUUGCAGAAUUCAGUGAAUCAUCGAAUCUUUGAACGCACCUUGCGCUCCUUGGUAUUCCGAGGAGCAUGCCUGUUUGAGUGUCAUUAAUAUAUCAACCUCUUCAGCUUAUGCUUGUUGAGUGUUGGAUGGUGGGGGUUUGCUGGUGUCUUAUGAAGUCAGCUCCUCUGAAAUGCAUUAGCGGAACAAUUUGUUGACCGUUCAUUGGUGUGAUAAAAAUAUCUACGCUAUUGACGUCAGUCAGUUCAGCUUCUAACAGUCCAUUGACUUGGACAAAUUUUUCAUUAAUGUGACCUCAAAUCAGGUAGGACUACCCGCUGAACUUAAGCAUAUCAAUAACGGAGGA
rnacentral:misc_RNA from 1 species